rnacentral:rRNA from 1 species
AGUGAACGCUGGCGGUAGGCCUAACACAUGCAAGUCGAACGGCAGCACAGUAAGAGCUUGCUCUUACGGGUGGCGAGUGGCGGACGGGUGAGGAAUACAUCGGAAUCUACUUUUUCGUGGGGGAUAACGUAGGGAAACUUACGCUAAUACCGCAUACGACCUACGGGUGAAAGCAGGGGAUCUUCGGACCUUGCGCGAUUGAAUGAGCCGAUGUCGGAUUAGCUAGUUGGCGGGGUAAAGGCCCACCAAGGCGACGAUCCGUAGCUGGUCUGAGAGGAUGAUCAGCCACACUGGAACUGAGACACGGUCCAGACUCCUACGGGAGGCAGCAGUGGGGAAUAUUGGACAACGGGCGCAAGCCUGAUCCAGCCAUACCGCGUGGGUGAAGAAGGCCUUCGGGUUGUAAAGCCCUUUUGUUGGGAAAGAAAAGCAGCAGGUUAAUACCCCACUGUUCUGACGGUACCCAAAGAAUAAGCACCGGCUAACUUCGUG